AGCGAACCGGGAAGAGCUCAAAUUUGUAAUCUGGCGCCCCUCGGGCUCAGAGUUGUAAUCUACAGAGGCGUUUUCCGUGCCGGCCCGUGCCCAACUUUGCUUGGAACAGUGAGAUCAAAGAGGGUGAAAAUCCCGUACUUGACACGACCGCCGGUGCUAUGUGAUACGUCUUCUAAGAGUCGAGUUGUUUGGGAAUGCAGCUCAAAACGGGUGGUAAAUUCCAUCUAAGGCUAAAUAUUGGCGAGAGACCGAUAGCGAACAAGUACCGUGAGGGAAAGAUGAAAAGCACUUUGGAAAGAGAGUUAAACAGCACGUGAAAUUGUUGAAAGGGAAACGAUUGAAGUCAGUCGUGUCCGAGGGGUUCAGCCGGUCCUGCCGGUGCAUUCCUCUCGGACGGGUCAACAUCGGUUUUGUCCGGCGGACAAGGGCAUGGGGAAAGUGGCACCUUCGGGUGUGUUAUAGCCCCGUGUCGCAUACGUCGGACGAGACCGAGGAACGCAGCUCGCCUCACGGCCGGGGUUCGCCCCACGUACGAGCUUAGG
rnacentral:rRNA from 1 species